rnacentral:ncRNA from 1 species
ACGGGAUCGCAGACUCCCGUUCAGACGGUGUCCCGUCCAAGCGCUGC